ensembl:rRNA 5S_rRNA 5S ribosomal RNA
GUCUAUGGCCAUCCCACCCUGAACGUGUCUGGUCUCGAAAGCUAAGCAGGGUCGGGCCUGGUUAGUACUUGGAUGGGAGAAGUGGAAAGUCAGUAUUUUUCUGUCU